rnacentral:misc_RNA from 1 species
GAUGAAGAACGUAGCGAAAUGCGAUAAGUAAUGCGAAUUGCAGAAUUUCCGUGAGUCAUCGAAUCUUUGAACGCACAUUGCGCCCAUUGGUAUUCCGAUGGGCAUGCCUGUUCGAGCGUCAUUAUCUUCCCUCAAACCUCGGGUUUGGUGUUGGGCCGCGCUGGUUCCUUCGUGACCAACUGGCCUCAAAGACAAUGGCGGCGUCCGUGGGACCCUCGGUGCAACGAGCUUUUAGGAGCACGCGCUGAGUUUCAAGGACCCUCCGGGCCGGUCUCCUAUUUAUCAUCAAGGUUGACCUCGGAUCAGGUAGGAAUACCCGCUGAACUUAAGCAUAUCAAUAAGCGGAGGA